UGGGGAAUAUUGCACAAUGGGCGCAAGCCUGAUGCAGCAACGCCGCGUGAACGAUGAAGGUCUUCGGAUCGUAAAGUUCUGUUGCAGGGGAAGAUAAUGACGGUACCCUGUGAGGAAGCCCCGGCUAACUACGUGCCAGCAGCCGCGGUAAUACGUAGGGGGCUAGCGUUAUCCGGAUUUACUGGGCGUAAAGGGUGCGUAGGUGGUCUUUCAAGUCGGUGGUUAAAGGCUACGGCUCAACCGUAGUUAGCCUCCGAAACUGGAAGACUUGAGUGCAGGAGAGGAAAGUGGAAUUACCAGUGUAGCGGUGAAAUGCGUAGAUAUUGGGAGGAACACCAGUAGCGAAGGCGGCUUUCUGGACUGCAACUGACACUGAGGCACGAAAGCGUGGGUAGCAAACAGG
rnacentral:rRNA from 1 species